rnacentral:rRNA from 1 species
AGUAACACGUGGGUAACCUGCCUGUAAGACUGGGAUAACUCCGGGAAACCGGAGCUAAUACCGGAUAGUUCCUUGAACCGCAUGGUUCAAGGAUGAAAGACGGUUUCGGCUGUCACUUACAGAUGGACCCGCGGCGCAUUAGCUAGUUGGUGGGGUAAUGGCUCACCAAGGCGACGAUGCGUAGCCGACCUGAGAGGGUGAUCGGCCACACUGGGACUGAGACACGGCCCAGACUCCUACGGGAGGCAGCAGUAGGGAAUCUUCCGCAAUGGACGAAAGUCUGACGGAGCAACGCCGCGUGAGUGAUGAAGGUUUUCGGAUCGUAAAGCUCUGUUGUUAGGGAAGAACAAGUGCGAGAGUAACUGCUCGCACCUUGACGGUACCUAACCAGAAAGCCACGGCUAACUACGUGCCAGCAGCCGCGGUAAUACGUAGGUGGCAAGCGUUGUCCGGAAUUAUUGGGCGUAAAGGGCUCGCAGGCGGUUUCUUAAGUCUGAUGUGAAAGCCCCCGGCUCAACCGGGGAGGGUCAUUGGAAACUGGGAAACUUGAGUGCAGAAGAGGAGAGUGGAAUUCCACGUGUAGCGGUGAAAUGCGUAGAGAUGUGGAGGAACACCAGUGGCGAAGGCGACUCUCUGGUCUGUAACUGACGCUGAGGAGCGAAAGCGUGGGGAGCGAACAGGAUUAGAUACCCUGGUAGUCCACGCCGUAAACGAUGAGUGCUAAGUGUUAGGGGGUUUCCGCCCCUUAGUGCUGCAGCUAACGCAUUAAGCACUCCGCCUGGGGAGUACGGUCGCAAGACUGAAACUCAAAGGAAUUGACGGGGGCCCGCACAAGCGGUGGAGCAUGUGGUUUAAUUCGAAGCAACGCGAAGAACCUUACCAGGUCUUGACAUCCUCUGACAACCCUAGAGAUAGGGCUUUCCCUUCGGGGACAGAGUGACAGGUGGUGCAUGGUUGUCGUCAGCUCGUGUCGUGAGAUGUUGGGUUAAGUCCCGCAACGAGCGCAACCCUUGAUCUUAGUUGCCAGCAUUCAGUUGGGCACUCUAAGGUGACUGCCGGUGACAAACCGGAGGAAGGUGGGGAUGACGUCAAAUCAUCAUGCCCCUUAUGACCUGGGCUACACACGUGCUACAAUGGACAGAACAAAGGGCUGCAAGACCGCAAGGUUUAGCCAAUCCCAUAAAUCUGUUCUCAGUUCGGAUCGCAGUCUGCAACUCGACUGCGUGAAGCUGGAAUCGCUAGUAAUCGCGGAUCAGCAUGCCGCGGUGAAUAC